rnacentral:rRNA from 1 species
UACCAGCACCCCGAGUGGUCGGGACGAUUAUUGGGCCUAAAGCAUCCGUAGCCGGUUCUACAAGUCUUCCGUUAAAUCCACCUGCUUAACAGAUGGGCUGCGGAGGAUACUAUGGAGCUAGGAGGCGGGAGAGGCAAGCGGUACUUAGUGGGUAGGGGUAAAAUCCGUUGAUCCAUUGAAGACCACCAGUGGCGAAGGCGGCUUGCCAGA